AGUGAACGCUGGCGGUAGGCCUAACACAUGCAAGUCGAACGGCAGCACAGUAAGAGCUUGCUCUACCGGUGGGGGGGUGGGGGAGGGGUGAGGAAAAAAUCGGAACCUAGUUUUUGGGGGGGGUUAAGGAAGGGAAAGUUACGCUAUUACGGAAUAGGACGUAGGGGGGAAGGCGGGGGAACUUGGACCUUUGGGGGAUUGAAUGGGCGAAGGCGGGUUUGCUUGGUGGCGGGGUAAAGGCCCAACAAGGCGACGGACCGUAGCUGGGCUGAGGGGAUGAUCAGCCACACUGGAACUGAGACACGGUCCAGACUCCUACGGGAGGCAGCAGUGGGGAAUAUUGGACAAUGGGCGCAAGCCUGAUCCAGCCAUACCGCGUGGGUGAAGAAGGCCUUCGGGUUGUAAAGCCCUUUUGUUGGGAAAGAAAAGCAGCAGGUUAAUACCCCGCUGUUCUGACGGUACCCAAAGAAUAAGCACCGGCUAACUUCGUG
rnacentral:rRNA from 1 species